rnacentral:rRNA from 1 species
UAGGGAAUCUUCCGCAAUGGGCGAAAGCUUGACGGAGCAACGCCGCGUGAGUGAUGAAGGUCUUCGGAUCGUAAAACUCUGUUAUUAGGGAAGAACAAAUGUGUAAGUAACUAUGCACGUCUUGACGGUACCUAAUCAGAAGGCCACGGCUAACUACGUGCCAGCAGCCGCGGUAAUACGUAGGUGGCAAGCGUUAUCCGGAAUUAUUGGGCGUAAAGCGCGCGUAGGCGGUUUUUUAAGUCUGAUGUGAAAGCCCACGGCUCAACCGUGGAGGGUCAUUGGAAACUGGAAAACUUGAGUGCAGAAGAGGAAAGUGGAAUUCCAUGUGUAGCGGUGAAAUGCGCAGAGAUAUGGAGGAACACCAGUGGCGAAGGCGACUGUCUGGUCUGUAACUGACGCUGAUGUGCGAAAGCGUGGGGAUCAAACAGG